rnacentral:rRNA from 1 species
UCCUGGAGGAGCAGAAGAUUCCAAGGGUUCUAUUGUUCAUAGAUUAAAAAGUCACUUGAUUUGAGUUAAGAUCGUCGUGAGACAGAUCGGUUUAUAUCUAGUUUAAGAAAGUUAAGAAGAAAAAAAAAAAAGAAAAUCUUAAUACGAAAGGAAUAGAUUUUAUUAGCCUAUAGUGUAACAAUUGUCUGAUAUAGGCAUCGUUGUGAAGCCACGCUAAAAAAGAUAAUCAUUGAAUGCAUCAA